AGAAUUGCAAUGAUGAGAAGAGUAAGUUAUAGGAAACUGACAGAGAGGGAUCUCCAUUGGGUGUAAGAGAUCUUGAGUUGAAAGUAACUGAAGUGCAUCUCAGAGCACUGAAUUGAAGUUUAGUAGACUUCAGCGGGUACGCCCGUUAAAGCGUUGAGGUAUGAUUGUACCAAAAUUAAGAGUUGUUAUGUGUUAUUGGUUUAGUUUUACAUAAUAAACAGAGUGGAACCGCGGAAUUAUACUUCUGCCUCUGUA
rnacentral:ncRNA from 1 species